rfam:Pirellula sp. SH-Sr6A, complete genome.
GCCCUUGUAGCUCAGUUGGUAGAGCAGAUGACUCUUAAUCAUCGGGUCCAAGGUUCGAGUCCUUGCGGGGGCA